GACGAACGCUGGCGGCGUGCCUAAUACAUGCAAGUCGUGCGGACUUUGCGGGAGCUUGCUCCCAAGAAGUUAGCGGCGGACGGGUGAGUAACACGUGGGCAACCUGCCUGACAGACUGGGAUAACAUUCGGAAACGAAUGCUAAUACCGGAUAGGCAGCGAAGAGGCAUCUCUUUGCUGAGAAAGGCGCUACGGCGUCACUGUCAGAUGGGCCCGCGGCGCAUUAGCUAGUUGGUAGGGUAACGGCCUACCAAGGCGACGAUGCGUAGCCGACCUGAGAGGGUGACCGGCCACACUGGGACUGAGACACGGCCCAGACUCCGACGGGAGGCAGCAGUAGGGAAUCUUCCACAAGGGGCGAAAGCCUGAUGGAGCAACGCCGCGUGAGUGAUGAAGGCCUUCGGGUUGUAAAACUCUGUCUUCUGGGACGAACGGCCAAGAGAGGGAAUGCUCUUGGAUUGACGGUACCAGAGGAGGAAGCCACGGCUAACUACGUGCCAGCAGCCGCCGUAA
rnacentral:rRNA from 1 species